GUGAUUACUUCAGUAGCACAUAUACUAACUUUGGAAUAAUACAGAGAUGGUUAGCACGGCCCCUGAGCAAGGAUGACACGCAAAUUCAAAGAUUUAUUUACAACAGUU